GCAGCAACUGGAACCAAUGCUCUUGAAUCUGCAGCAUUUUUCUCCAGAGAGGCAUCAGGAGGGGAUGGAGCUGAAUCGUGAUCGCUUUCAAUGAAGUUACUCAAAGUUGUUCCUGAAUGAUCCGGGAAGGCAUUAUACGUCCCCCGUUGCAUGCCAUUGUGAAUAAUAGUAGAACCAGGUGAGCACCUUGUUAGUGGUUGAGGUGUCUCACAAGGAAGUACACGAGAACAACCUUCUGGACCUAGAGGUGGGGAAGCUCGAGAGGGGCUAGGCUCCAGGGUAAAACCAAGACCAUCAAGUUUGUCAUCAUGUGAAAUUCCAGCCUGAGAUAAGGUCUUGCUGUCAUCUCUAACCUUCUUACCCUGA
rnacentral:misc_RNA from 1 species